UACGAAGGGAGCUAGCGUUGUUCGGAAUCACUGGGCGUAAAGCGCACGUAGGCGGAUGUGUCAGUCAGGGGUGAAAUCCCGGAGCUCAACUUCGGAACUGCCUUUGAUACAGCACAUCUGGAGUCCGGAAGAGGUGGGUGGAAUUCCUAGUGUAGAGGUGAAAUUCGUAGAUAUUAGGAAGAACACCGGUGGCGAAGGCGGCCCACUGGUCCGGUACUGACGCUGAGGUGCGAAAGCGUGGGGAGC
rnacentral:rRNA from 1 species